rnacentral:rRNA from 1 species
AUUGAACGCUGGCGGCAGGCCUAACACAUGCAAGUCGAGCGGAUGAGUGGAGCUUGCUCCAUGAUUCAGCGGCGGACGGGUGAGUAAUGCCUAGGAAUCUGCCUGGUAGUGGGGGACAACGUUUCGAAAGGAACGCUAAUACCGCAUACGUCCUACGGGAGAAAGUGGGGGAUCUUCGGACCUCACGCUAUCAGCUGAGCCUAGGUCGGAUUAGCUAGUUGGUGAGGUAAAGGCUCACCAAGGCGACGAUCCGUAACUGGUCUGAGAGGAUGAUCAGCCACACUGGAACUGAGACACGGUCCAGACUCCUACGGGAGGCAGCAGUGGGGAAUAUUGGACAAUGGGCGAAAGCCUGAUCCAGCCAUGCCGCGUGUGUGAAGAAGGUCUUCGGAUUGUAAAGCACUUUAAGUUGGGAGGAAGGGCAGUAAGUUAAUACCUUGCUGUUUUGACGUUACCAACAGAAUAAGCACCGGCUAACUUCGUGCCAGCCGCCGCCGUAAGAC